AGCCUGUGAUGGUUUAAUAAGAGUAGUGGACAGAAGGGAUUUCUGAAACGUUUCAUACUGAGGCU
rnacentral:snoRNA from 1 species